rnacentral:rRNA from 1 species
AGCAGCCGCGGUAAUUCCAGCUCCAAUAGCGUAUAUUAAAGUUGUUGCAGUUAAAAAGCUCGUAGUUGAAUUUCGAGAUCAAAUUGUUGGUCGUGCCUCGGUACGUACUGGCAUUAUUGAUUUCUCCCUUCUGAAGAACCUUGAUGUCAUUAAUUUGGUGUCUUGGGGAAUCAGGACCGUUACUUUGAAAAAAUUAGAGUGUUUAAAGCAGGCUCACGCUUGAAUACAUUAGCAUGGAAUAAUGAAAUAGGACGUUUGAUUCUAUUUUGUUGGUUUCUAGGAUCGACGUAAUGAUUAAUAGGGAUAGUUGGGGGCAUUAGUAUUCAAUUGUCAGAGGUGAAAUUCUUGGAUUUAUUGAAGACUAACUACUGCGAAAGCAUUUGCCAAAGGUAUGUUUUACAUUAAAUCAAGAACGAAAGUUAGGGGAUCGAAGACGAUCAGAUACCGUCGUAGUCUUAACCAUAAACUAUGCCGACUAGGGAUCGGAUGAUGUUAAUUUUUUAAUGACUCAUUCGGCGCC